UCCAAUGUGGUGUAGUGGUUUGAGCAUUAGACUACAACUCUGGAGACCAGGGUUCAAUUCCCAUCUCAUCCAUGAAA
rnacentral:tRNA from 1 species